rnacentral:rRNA from 1 species
CUGGCGGCGUGCCUAAUACAUGCAAGUCGAACGGAAGUUUAAGCAAUUAAACUUUAGUGGCGAACGGGUGAGUAACGCGUAAGNAAUCUGCCCCUAAGACGAGGAUAACAGUUGGAAACGACUGCUAAGACUGGAUAGGAGACAAGAAGGCAUCUUCUUAUUUUUAAAAGACCUAGCAAUAGGUAUGCUUAGGGAGGAGCUUGCGUCACAUUAGUUAGUUGGUGGGGUAAAGGCCUACCAAGACUAUGAUGUGUAGCCGGGCUGAGAGGUUGAACGGCCACAUUGGGACUGAGACACGGCCCAAACUCUACGGGAGGCAGCAGUAGGGAAUUUUCGGCAAUGGAGGAAACUCUGACCGAGCAACGCCGCGUGAACGAUGAAGUAUUUCGGUAUGUAAAGUUCUUUUAUUAGGGAAGAAUAAAUGAUGGAAAAAUCAUUCUGACUGUACCUAAUGAAUAAGCCCCGGCUAACUAUGUGCCAGCAGCCGCGGUAAUACAUAGGGGGCAAGCGUUAUCCGGAAUUAUUGGGCGUAAAGGGUGCGUAGGCGGUUAAAUAAGUUUAUGGUCUAAGUGCAAUGCUCAACAUUGUGAUGCUAUAAAAACUGUUUAGCUAGAGUAAGAUAGAGGCAAGUGGAAUUCCAUGUGUAGUGGUAAAAUGCGUAAAUAUAUGGAGGAACACCAGUAGCGAAGGCGGCUUGCUGGGUCUUUACUGACGCUGAGGCACGAAAGCGUGGGGAGCAAACAGGAUUAGAUACCCUGGUAGUCCACGCUGUAAACGAUGAGUACUAAACGUUGGGUAAAACCAGUGUUGAAGUUAACACAUUAAGUACUCCGCCUGAGUAGUACGUACGCAAGUAUGAAACUUAAAGGAAUUGACGGGACUNCGCACAAGCGGUGGAUCAUGUUGUUUAAUUCGAAGGUACCCGAAAAACCUCACCAGGUCUUGACAUGCUUCUGCAAAGUUGUAGAAAUACAGUGGAGGUUAUCAGUUGCACAGGUGGUGCAUGGUUGUCGUCAGCUCGUGUCGUGAGAUGUUGGGUUAAGUCCCGCAACGAGCGCAACCCUUAUUGUUAGUUACCAGCACGUAAUGGUGGGGACUUUAGCAAGACUGCCAGUGAUAAAUUGGAGGAAGGUGGGGACGACGUCAAAUCAUCAUGCCCCUUAUGACCUGGGCUACAAACGUGAUACAAUGGCUGUUACAAAGGGUAGCUGAAACGCAAGUUUUUGGCGAAUCUCAAAAAAACAGUCUCAGUUCGGAUUGAAGUCUGCAACUCGACUUCAUGAAGUUGGAAUCGCUAGUAAUCGCGAAUCAGCAUGUCGCGGUGAAUACGUUCUCGGGGUUUGUACACACCGCCCGUCAAACCACGAAAGUUGGCAAUACCCAAACGCGGUGGCCUAACUUCGUAAGAAGAGGGAACCGUCUAAGGUAGGGUCGAUGAUUGGGGUUAAGUCGUAACAAGGUA